UACAGAGGUCUCAAGCGUUGUUCGGAUUCAUUGGGCGUAAAGGGUGCGUAGGCGGCGCGGUAAGUCGGGUGUGAAAUUUCGAGGCUUAACUUCGAAACUGCAUUCGAUACUGCCGUGCUUGAGGACUGGAGAGGAGACUGGAAUUUACGGUGUAGCGGUGAAAUGCGUAGAUAUCAAGAGGAACACCUGAGGUGAAGACGGGUUGCUGGGCCAACACUGACGCUGAUGCGCGAAAGCCAGGGGAGCAAACGGG
rnacentral:rRNA from 1 species